UACAUAGGUGGCAAGCGUUGUCCGGAAUGACUGGGCGUAAAGGGAGCGUAGGCGGUUUGAUAAGUUAUAUGUGAAAGCCCUUGGCUUAACCAAGGAAAUGCAUAUAAUACUGUUAGACUUGAGUAUGGGAGAGGAAGAUGGAAUUUUUAGUGUAGCGGUAAAAUGCUUAGAUAUUAGAAAGAACACCGGAGGCGAAGGCGGUCUUCUGGCCCAAUACUGACGCUGAGGCUCGAAAGCGUGGGGAGCAAACAGGAUUAGAUACCCUGGUAGUCCACGCCCUAAACGAUGAAUACUAGACGUAGGAGGUAUCGACUCCUCCUGUGUCGCAGCAAACGCGAUAAGCAUUCCGCCUGAGUACUACGACCGCAAGGUUAAA
rnacentral:rRNA from 1 species